AUUGAACGCUGGCGGCAGGCCUAACACAUGCAAGUCGAACGAGUGGCGGACGGGUGAGUAAUGUCUGGGAAACUGCCUGAUGGAGGGGGAUAACUACUGGAUACGGUAGCUAAUACCGCAUACCAUCAGAUGUGCCCCGAUGGGAUUAGCUAGUUGGUGGGGUAACGGCUCACCAAGGCGACGAUCCCUAGCUGGUCUUAGGGGAUGACCAGCAACACUGGAACUGAGACACGGGCCAGACUGCUACGGGAGGCAGCAGUGGGGAAUAUUGCACAAUGGGCGCAAGCCUGAUGCAGCAAUGCCGCGUGUAUGAAGAAGGCCUUCGGGGUGUAAAGUACUUUCAGCGGGGAGGCGUUACCCGCAGAAGAAGCACCGGCUAACUCCGUGCCAGCAGCGGCGGUAAUUC
rnacentral:rRNA from 1 species